AGAGUUUGAUCCUGGCUCAGGAUAAACGCUGGCGGCAUGCCUAACACAUGCAAGUCGAACGGGGUUUAUAUAACAGAACUCUCCGGAGGGAAGUUAUAUAAACCUAGUGGCGGACGGGUGAGUAACGCGUGGGGAACCUGCCCUGUACCGGGGGACAACAGCCAGAAAUGGCUGCUAAUACCGCAUAACCCUGCACUGCCGCAUGGCGGUGCAGGGAAAACUCCGGUGGUACAGGAUGGCCCCGCGUCUGAUUAGCUUGUUGGCGGGGUAACGGCCCACCAAGGCAACGAUCAGUAGCCGGCUUGAGAGAGCGGACGGCCACAUUGGGACUGAGACACGGCCCAGACUCCUGCGGGAGGCAGCAGUGGGGAAUAUUGCACAAUGGGGGGAACCCUGAUGCAGCAAUGCCGCGUGGGUGAAGAAGUACUCCGGUAUGUAAAGCCCUGUCAGCAGGGAAGAAAAUGACGGAACCUGACUAAGAAGCCCCGGCUAACUACGUGCC
rnacentral:rRNA from 1 species